rnacentral:misc_RNA from 1 species
UUAGAGCUUCAUUAUCUGUAUCUGUUGUUCCUUCUUUUAAAUUAUUGGAUGUUGAACAUCUAACUGAUCAAAGGAUCAGGAGAUGGUUCUACCGGGGUCAAACCUGGAACAUCAACAAGCUUUAUGCGCUUGGCUUAGGCUGAGGGUAUGAACGAAGUUCUUUGACAUAUUGGGAAACAAGUUGUAUACAAGAUGUAUUAAUUUGUUGAAGAUUUUU